UAACGGAAGCCCAGGGCUUCCAUUACCUCUUCCCUAUAUAUAUAUAUAUAUAUAUAUAUAUAUAUAUAUAUAUAUAUAUAUAUAUAUAUAUAUAUAUAUAUAGGGAAGAGGUAAUGGAAGCCCUGGGCUUCCGUUA
rfam:Zea mays cultivar B73 chromosome 5, whole genome shotgun sequence.